UGGUGUCUCUUCUUCCUUGCAGAACUCUGAUUUUGGAAUAUCCUGAGGGCCCUGGGAUGUUUCGUCUUCAUUGGCUGGAACAUCGCUAUUGGGAUUAGUUAAUUGAGGCUGUUGUAGCUCAGGGUUGACAGAUUCUGCCUCCUCAGCUUCUUCAGCUGCAGGUAUGAAACAGAAGAACAGCUUUAUAUUUCCAUCUGCCUUACCUCAGUAUGCCGGUCCCGACAUGAGAUGCCACACACUUUGGCGCCCAUCUUGAAACUCCUGUACAAGAAAAGAAAGGUUGUUAUAAGUCACUGCUUUAGUGGAGAUAAAGAAUACAAGUGUGUGUUGCUGCUGGUAAAUGACAAGCUGAAGACAAGCACGUCUCUGUAACCUCACAGCUACACACCUG